rnacentral:rRNA from 1 species
GACGACAUUAGACGAAUCAUCUGGAAAGAUGAAUCAAAGAAGGUAAUAAUCCUGUAGUCGAAAAUGUUGUCUCUCUUGAGCGGAUCCUGAGUACGACGGAGCAUGUGAAAUUCCGUCGGAAUCUGGGAGGACCAUCUCCUAAGGCUAAAUACUCUCUAGUGGCCGAUAGUGAACCAGUACCGUGAGGGAAAGGUGAAAAGCACCCCGGAAGGGGAGUGAAAUAGAACCUGAAACCGUGUGCU